GCAGGAUAUGUCUAGUUCCUGAAAAUGGUGCACCAGUGGUUAUCUCCUAUACAAGUACAACUUAGAAGGCAUUCAUUCCCACUAGAGUCCAUUGCAAAUGUAUUGAGUGUUCAACACCUUUAAUACUUUCAGAGUGGGACAGUGAUGUGGAAUCUUUCCUGCUGCUACUGCAUAUCUUGCAGCCUCAACCUGCUAAAGAAAACACAGAAGAGUGUUUCUCAGACCAUGGACCGUGUGUUGUGAAAAGCAAUGGGGACAGAGCUGCUCGUUUGAUUUUUGGAAGAGGAAGACAUGAAGGAAGGAUCCUGGAGGAGGGACUGGACUACUGCUCCUCCAUGAUGUCGUAGUGAAAGGGCUGUCCACUUCCCACAGGAGGAACAGCACCACCUCCGUGCUCCAGCAUGAGUCUCUCUCACCUUUUUUGUCUUGGGGAGAAAUAAGAGGAUGAGCUGAGGGCUAAAACUCCAUCUGAGUCAUCAGCUUCUCGCAAUUCGGCACCACCUGUUGACAACCACAUAGUUGGUUUAGACGACAAACCAGCAGGACCUGCUGAUCCCAACCACGUGUGGCCAUGAGGUGCAGAUUGCUAAUCUGACUGAAAAUGUCCUCUAUUGCAUGACUGACGUAGGGCAACAUUGCGGCACUUGAAUCGGUCCUAGAAGAUAAAGUUGGGGACGUGUUGUUAAUGGACAGAUGUUCACAAGAGCCUCUAAAAAUUAUUCAAACAACUGGACAGGUGUUCUUAUUUGCUGCCUUGAAUCGCCCCUUGGGUUGCCACUUCCGGUGUCUGCAAGGAUAGUUGACUCGGGCUACCGACACUUCUAGUUCAUCUGUCUGUAAACAAGUUUUUAUGAAGUUGAGAAAGGUAAGAAAUGAGUCAGCAUCUAUUCACUUUUGAUUGUUACCCACAAUAUAUGAAAUGACUGUUACUGUCACUUACUUUCCCCUUUGUUAACUACUGCCUGAA